UUGCGCCUGCGAAGGACGCAGCGCCUCCCGUAUGAUGCCUUGCAGGCGGCAGGGUGGCGUCCCCGUCCCGUGAUCGGCAAUUUUGCCGAUUCAAAAUCAUUC
rnacentral:sRNA from 1 species